GAUGAACGCUGGCGGCGUGCUUAACACAUGCAAGUCGAACGGUAAGGCCCUUCGGGGUACACGAGUGGCGAACGGGUGAGUAACACGUGGGUGAUCUGCCCUGCACUUCGGGAUAAGCCUGGGAAACUGGGUCUAAUACCGGAUAGGACCACUGCCUGCAUGGGUGGUGGUGGAAAGCUUUUGCGGUGUGGGAUGGGCCCGCGGCCUAUCAGCUUGUUGGUGGGGUGAUGGCCUACCAAGGCGACGACGGGUAGCCGGCCUGAGAGGGUGACCGGCCACACUGGGACUCCGAUACGGCCCAGACGCCUACGGGAGGCAGCAGUGGGGAAUAUUGCACAAUGGGCGCAAGCCUGAUGCAGCGACGCCGCGUGAGGGAGGACGGCCUUCGGGUUGUAAACCUCUUUCAGCACCGACGAGGCGCAAGUGACGGUAGGUGCAGAAGAAGGACCGGCCAACUACGUGCCAGCAGCCGCAGUAA
rnacentral:rRNA from 1 species